rnacentral:misc_RNA from 1 species
UAUCAUUUGAAAAACCUAGAUAAUAUAUAUAAAUAUAAAAACCCAAAUUUAUUUCAUAUACAAUAUCAUAUCCAAAUUGGUAUAGAAAUACCCAAAAACAAGUAAAUCCAAUAUCUUAAAAACCCAAUAAAAAGAACAAUUUUUUAUGGAACAUUGUCAUAUUUACAUUCCUAGAAAUAUACCCAAACACAUAUAGAAAACAAAUACAAAUAGAUCCAAUGUCUGAAAAACCCAAUCAACAGAAGAGUUUUAGGUGGAAUAAAAUUACUUACCAAGAGCCGUGAUACCAAUUUGAGAAUUGCCACCCAUAAUUAAUCAUCCAUCGACGAAAAUAAGAAGAGAAUCACAUAUGUUAGAACUUUUCACUUCAGAAUUCUUGAAAUUGUGGCUGAUUAAACACAACUACACAAGCAGUUUUAGAAGAGUUUCUCAUCUCUAGUGCCAACUUUGCAGAAAACGAGAAGAUUAAACAAUGAGAGCAUAAAAUUUGCUAUUAAUAUGGUGUAUUUUAUAAUUUCAGUCUUUCAUACUCUUAUUUUUUUAUUUUCACUCUAGAAGUCCAAAUUGAAGAAUUUUUUUGAGUUUAGAGGAAAUUUAAGAA